rnacentral:lncRNA from 1 species
GCGAAGCAGAGGCGGAAUUAGCAGUGUUCACGUUAACGGUAUGGUUUUACUUUGAUGAUGACAGUAGUCAGCUUCACUUGUGAGUGAGAGCUCACACCUCUCACAUCCGUGAUCUGUGCGGUUUGACAAGAACCUGACAGUUUAUAAAAAGCUCGUAGAGAAGUUAACUUUUCAGAAAAUUUGCGGGGAAACUUUUCUGAAGAUAAUGUGAAUUUACUACUCUGGACAAUUACGAUCCAUAAAGUAAGAUGGGACAUCUUAAUAUCAGAACUGUCUGCAAAAGAGCAGUGCUUUUGCUCUAUGUCAUUCUUCAGGGUUUGAAUGCACAGAACAGUGAUCAAGCAGCCUCCACCACAAUAAUCUCUCCACCAAUUGUGUCUCCAACAUCAGCACCUUCAACAACAUCUGCCAAUGCAAGUUCUACAACUGAGUCUCAAACAGCAACACCUACAAAUUCUUCAUCAACUGAGUCUCUGACCUCAACAGCACCUUUAACACCACCUGCCAACUCAAGUUCUUCUGCAACUGAGUCAACAGUUCCAAACUCUCCAUCAAAUGACUCUCAAACAUCAACAGCUCCUUUAAGUGAGUAUUUUUAUUAUUUGAUUAUUUUUAAACAAUUAAAAAAAAAAAAAGGUUAUAACUGA